GGCUCCUUGUAUGAAUUAAAUAGGGAGUCGGACCUGCCCAGUGAAUAUUUUAACGGCCGCGGUACCCUGACCGUGCAAAGGUAGCAUAAUCAUUUGCCUUAUAAUUGAAGGCUAGUAUGAAUGGUUUGACAAGAAUAUAGCUGUCUCUUUUCGAUUUUAUAGAAUUUUAUUUAAGGGUGAAGAAGCCUUUAUUUAAUUAAAAGACAAGAAGACCCUAUCGAGCUUUAAAACAAUAAGUAGAUUUGACAUGUCUUAAUAAUUUUAUAGAGAUAUCUACUAAAAAUUUUAGUUGGGGCGACUAAGGAACAUAAAAAGCUUCCUUUAACAAAUUUUAAAUAAUUACGGUUAUUUGAUCCAAGAAUUUUUGAUUAAAGAAAUUAGUUACCGUAGGGAUAACAGCAUUAUCUUCUUUGAGAGUUCUUAUCGAAAAGGAGGUUUGUGACCUCGAUGUUGGACCAGAAUAUCCUAAAGAUGCAGCAGUCUUUAAAGGUUGGUCUGUUCGACCAUUAAAAUUCUACG
rnacentral:rRNA from 1 species